UCUUAUCCAGAGAGGUGGAGGGACUGGCCCUUUGAUACCUCAGCAACCGUCUAUUACAGACAAGGUGCUACUUCCAGCAAGCAAUGAAUGCUUGAAAGAUGAGA
rnacentral:ncRNA from 1 species